rnacentral:rRNA from 1 species
CGUGUAGGUGGUUUAGUAAGUCUGGCGUGAAAUUUUUCGGCUUAACCGGGAAAGGUCGUCGGAUACUGCAAGACUAGAGGACGGUAGAGGCGUGUGGAAUUCCGGGUGUAGUGGUGAAAUGCGUAGAGAUCCGGAGGAACACCAGUGGCGAAGGCGACACGCUGGGCCGUACCUGACACUGAUGCGCGACAGCAUGGGGAAGCAAACA